rnacentral:rRNA from 1 species
CUUCGGUGGUGGAUUAGUGGCGAACGGGUGAGUAACACGUGGGCAAUCUGCCCUGCACUCUGGGACAAGCCCUGGAAACGGGGUCUAAUACCGGAUAUGACACGGGAUCGCAUGGUCUCCGUGUGGAAAGCUCCGGCGGUGCAGGAUGAGCCCGCGGCCUAUCAGCUUGUUGGUGGGGUGAUGGCCUACCAAGGCGACGACGGGUAGCCGGCCUGAGAGGGCGACCGGCCACACUGGGACUGAGACACGGCCCAGACUCCUACGGGAGGCAGCAGUGGGGAAUAUUGCACAAUGGGCGCAAGCCUGAUGCAGCGACGCCGCGUGAGGGAUGACGGCCUUCGGGUUGUAAACCUCUUUCAGCAGGGAAGAAGCGCGAGUGACGGUACCUGCAGAAGAAGCACCGGCUAACUACGUGCCAGCAGCCGCGGUAAUACGUAGGGUGCGAGCGUUGUCCGGAAUUAUUGGGCGUAAAGAGCUCGUAGGCGGCUUGUCGCGUCGGAUGUGAAAGCCCGGGGCUUAACCCCGGGUCUGCAUUCGAUACGGGCAGGCUAGAGUUCGGCAGGGGAGAUUGGAAUUCCUGGUGUAGCGGUGAAAUGCGCAGAUAUCAGGAGGAACACCGGUGGCGAAGGCGGAUCUCUGGGCCGAUACUGACGCUGAGGAGCGAAAGCGUGGGGAGCGAACAGGAUUAGA